CAGUAGCCGCGGUAAUACGAAGGGUGCAAGCGUUAAUCGGAAUUACUGGGCGUAAAGCGUGCGCAGGCGGUUGUGUAAGACAGGUGUGAAAUCCCCGGGCUUAACCUGGGAACUGCGCUUGUGACUGCACAGCUAGAAUAUGGCAGAGGGGGGUGGAAUUCCACGUGUAGCAGUGAAAUGCGUAGAGAUGUGGAGGAACACCGAUGGCGAAGGCAGCCCCCUGGGCCAAUACUGACGCUCAUGCACGAAAGCGUGGGGAGCAAACAGGAUUAGAUACCCCAGUAGUCCCUGUCUCUUAUAC
rnacentral:rRNA from 1 species